rnacentral:misc_RNA from 1 species
GUGUUUCGAGUCUCGUGCCGCGACUCGCUGCCGUCGUCCGUCAGUUGCUUCCGGCGGCAGAAAUCCUUGAAGCAACCCCGGGUGAGGAUGGCAAAUCUCGAAUUCCUGCUAACACAGAAAUAUUGUUCGGUGAUACCCCGACUAUUAUUACCUGUAUAAAAGACGGCCAUAUUAAUCUGCAAUGGGCACAAAGCACCUGGGCAGGCGUUGAAGCGCUUUUUAGAGCCUUCCCAACGGUAAGUUCACAGUUUAAAUCUGUUAUUCGCAUCAUAAAUGUAAUUCAACGAGCAUAUACAUGUUCAUGAAAAGAAAACACCCCAACCCCAACCCUUUAAAAAAAUAAAACAAUUUUCAUUGCGUAACAAACAUGAAACCAAAAUCUUCUUAUAUUUUAUGAAUUUGUUUGAUUGUAAUGAAAGGCGGUUAAAAUUACGAAAAUAUGUUUAACAGUUUAAACAACGCAUUCAAAAAUUAACAUUAAAAAAUAACAAAUAACCGUUCAACGAGUAAUGAUGAUAAGAUUUCUUUUCUUCGUUUUUAUUUAAGUAAUUUUCUUUAAUGAUUUGGUAAUUUUUGUCUGAACAUUGUAAAAUAUAAUUCCAAGCCUCCGGAAGGAGUGACCAUUACACGCAUGGGUGACGGGUUUGGUCGCUUGAUGGCAGAGUAUGUCGUCGGCAAUAUCUUAUCCAGGGAGCUCUCCAUUGUGAAAUUCAGCCGGCAACAGCAGAAUAACAUGUGGGACAAAAGCCCUGCAGAGGACAGACGGAUGCUGACCUCAAUAACCCUCGGUGUCCUGGGGGUCGGAUCCAUCAGUACAGAAAUUGCCCGGUUAAGUCGGGCUGUCGGAAUGACAGUGUGGGGACUAUGUAGAGCGAACAAACAGUCCAGGCCGGAAUUUAAUCGUCUGACAACGGUCGGUAACCUGAGCGAGUUUCUGGCGGGGUGUGACUAUAUCUGUAACGUUCUCCCCAGUACCACAGAGACCCAGGACUUACUGUCGGGAGACGCUCUAUCAUCCUGCAAGUCUAAGAGUCCGGUUUUCAUCAACGUCGGACGUGGAGGCAUCAUCAGCGAGGAAUCACUACUUGCUGCUCUCGAGAAUGGCUGGUUACGUGGUGCGGUGUUGGAUGUAUUUAAAGAGGAGCCACUUCCGGUAAUUAGCCCCCUAUGGUCGCACCCAAAAGUGACGGUUACUCCCCACAUAUCUGGCCCAAGUGUGGCAGAAAACAUUGCUGAAGUGUUCGUUCGGAAUUACGAAAAAUACGUCAACAAGCAGAGCUUAGAUCACGUGGUGAAUUGGGAAAAAGGCUAUUGAACGUUCUUGUCUAUUGUAAUUCAUUUUUGUACAAGAAAUAGAUAGAAACCUACAUGUAGCAUCUGUUGUAAACAUGCAAUAAAUUACACAAUUCAGAAAUUAAUUGAAACAUUUAUCAAUAAAUUGAUUAAAACAUUAAUCAUUCACGAAAUUUACGUUAACUCAUGUUAUCUAAUUUUAAAAUUAAACCCAACGCCUUUGUGUUUUCUGGAAAUAACCUUUAGUGCUAUUAUGUCUACUCAGUAAUUGUAAAUACGUUUAAGAAAAUGAGAGUUACAUUACAGAUUCAGUGUUCAAAUAUUCAUUUACAUUUUGUCAAAGGUGUUCAAGACCAAAAUGUCAAAAAAUUUAAAUAAAAAAUGAUAUUGUU